GUAUACGGGGAUGAGGUCCUCCCGGGGCGUUUGCCCGAACCGCCGUUUGGCUGAUGACUUCUGCAAAC
rnacentral:ncRNA from 1 species